rnacentral:rRNA from 1 species
UACAGAGGUCCCGAGCGUUGUUCGGAUUCAUCGGGCGUAAAGGGUGCGUAGGUGGCGCUGUAAGUGGGGUGUGAAAUCCCGGGGCUUAACUCCGGAACUGCAUUCCAUACUGCGGUGCUUGAGGACUGGAGAGGAGACUGGAAUUUACGGUGUAGCAGUGAAAUGCGUAGAGAUCGUAAGGAAGACCAGUGGCGAAGGCGGGUCUCUGGACAGUUCCUGACACUGAGGCACGAAGGCCAGGGGAGCAAACGGG